AUUUCGAAGAAAAAUGUAUUAACCGAACUUUGGAUGUAACAAGACUUCGCGAUGAUGCUUUGCCUUCAAGGGAGUUGUUGAUACCAGCUCAAUUUGAAGACAGAGAGAAACAACAAUCUGUUCCUCGCAAAGUAUUUGAGGAGAAGCCUACCUGCAGCACUUGUAACUAUGCAAAUGUACCAGUCCAUGCUGACGGCAGCGGCAGUGAGAAAAAACAAUCUGUUCCUCUCCAAGUAUUUGAGGAAAAGCCAACCUGUAGACCUUUCAAGACAACCUUUGGGUGAACAACAACAGAUUUCCGAAUAAUGAAGAUCAGAAUAAAAUAUGGCUAGAUGUUGUCCCGGUGACACAAAAUAUAACAAAAAAUUCCGUUGUAUGUAGCCGUAACUUCAAAACAGAAGACUUCUAUCACAGGGGUAUAAUCGUAACAGUUGUGACAUUGCG